rnacentral:rRNA from 1 species
CAGCACCUCAAGUGGUCAGGAUGAUUAUUGGGCCUAAAGCAUCCGUAGCCGGCUCUGUAAGUUUUCGGUUAAAUCUGUAUGCUCAACAUACAGGCUGCCGUGAAUACUGCAGAGCUAGGGAGUGGGAGAGGUAGACGGUACUCGGUAGGAAGGGGUAAAAUACUUUGAUCUAUUGAUGACCACCUGUGGCGAAGGCGGUCUACCAGAACACGUCCGACGGUGAGGGAUGAAAGCUGGGGGAGCAAACCGGAUUAGAUACCCGAGUAGUCC